CCUUUUACCUAUCAAGCAGGUGCUGCUAUUUAGGCGGCUUAAUAGGGAAAGCGGUGAAAAUCCGCUGCAGCCCCCGCUACUGUGAGCACUGACAAUCCCUCAAAAAGUUUUUGCCACUGGAAGGUUUGGGUUCCUAUUUUGAAAGUGGAGCUUACCUUCUGGGAAGGCAGAGAGGGUGCGAAUGAAGUGCGAGCCAGGAGACCUGCCUGCUUGAGAUGCCUUGU
rnacentral:ncRNA from 2 species